UUCUGCCCCUUGGAUACUUUCCUCAUAUACACACUGAACAAUGCUCAGCAAAAAAUUUGCAGGCAGCUCUGCCUCUGUGCACCUCUCUCUUCUCUCAUGAAUUCCCACUGGCCUAGGCGCUCUGGAUUCCUAACUCUGCCUCUUAAAGCUGCCAGACUGCUGGGCUCCACCUGGUUUCCCCUCCCAGGCAGCAGCCUGGGAACACGAUUCACACGGAAGAAGAGGAAAGGAACAUUGGCUGGCAAAUGGGAUCUCUGUUAUAGAUGCCUAUGUGCAAAGGACCGUCUGUAUAAACAUAGACCAGAAAUAUUCUGACUUCGAAAAUGGCUUUUGGAAUAAAGACCUGAGAUGUAAUUAUGGAAAACUUGAUAUAGUUCUCCCUGCCCCAAUAAUUGAUGAGAAUGAGAUGGCCACAUGGAAGAUGCCACGCCCAAGAUUGACAGCCCAUGUGGGGCAACACAGGACUGGAAGGCGGGUUACUUAUCAUCGUCUGCUGCCAAGUGCCCCCGUGCACAGAUGCUGGGUCUUGACGGAGAAGGAAGAUUUGAGAGGAUUCUUACACCAGAAUUCUGAAAGCUUUCCCAGACUGAAUUGACCAUGUCACUCUCUGAAAUUAUGUAAUACACUAAAGCCUCAAGCUCAGAUUUCAAGAACCAUUCUUUUUAGUUUCAAAUAUUUUUAUAUUCUUAGUAAGAAGACAUUUGGAAAAAUGCCCUCCCCAGAGUUCCUUAUGUUUCUGAAAAUA